UACGUAGGUGGCAAGCGUUGUCCGGAUUUACUGGGCGUAAAGAGCGCGCAGGCGGCUGGUCAAGUCCGAUGUGAAAUCUCCCGGCUUAACUGGGAAACUGCAUCGGAAACUGAUCGGCUUGAAGGUGGGAGAGGGUAGUGGAAUUCCCGGUGUAGUGGUGAAAUGCGCAGAUAUCAGGAGGAACACCGGUGGCGAAGGCGGGAUCCUGGGCCAGUACUGACGCUGAGGAGCGAAAGCGUGGGGAGCAAACAGG
rnacentral:rRNA from 1 species